AGCGUUGUUCGGAAUUACUGGGCGUAAAGGGCGCGUAGGCGGCCUGGUAAGUCGGACGUGAAAUCCCCGGGCUCAACCCGGGAACUGCGUCCGAUACUGGCAGGCUUGAAUCCGGGAGAGGGAUGCGGAAUUCCAGGUGUAGCGGUGAAAUGCGUAGAUAUCUGGAGGAACACCGGUGGCGAAGGCGGCAUCCUGGACCGGCAUUGACGCUGAGGUGCGAAAGCGUGGGGAGCAAACAGG
rnacentral:rRNA from 1 species